rnacentral:rRNA from 1 species
GAUGAACGCUGGCGGCGUGCCUAAUACAUGCAAGUCGAACGAAUCUCUUUUAGAGAUGAGUGGCGAACGGGUGAGUAAUACAUAGGUAACCUGCCCCUGUGCGGGGGAUAACAGGAGGAAACUCCUGCUAAUACCGCAUAGCCAUGAGCACCGCAUGGAGCUCAUGCCAAAUAUCCUUUCGGGGAUAGCGCAGGGAUGGACCUAUGGCGCAUUAGCUGGUUGGCGGGGCAACGGCCCACCAAGGCAACGAUGCGUAGCCGGCCUGAGAGGGCGGACGGCCACAUUGGGACUGAGACACGGCCCAGACUCCUACGGGAGGCAGCAGUAGGGAAUUUUCGGCAAUGGGGGAAACCCUGACCGAGCAACGCCGCGUGAGCGAAGAAGGCCUUCGGGUCGUAAAGCUCUGUUGUAAAGGAAGAACGGCGCAUACAGGAAAUGGUAUGCGAGUGACGGUACUUUACCAGAAAGCCACGGCUAACUACGUGCCAGCAGCCG